rnacentral:rRNA from 1 species
GACGGAGGGUGCUAGCGUUGUCCGGAAUCACUGGGCGUAAAGGGCGCGCAGGCGGCCCCGCCCGUCGGGCGUGAAAGCCCGGGGCUCAACCCCGGAACGGCGCCCGAGACGGCGGGGCUGGAGACCGGGAGAGGAGGGUGGAAUAGCCAGUGUAGAGGUGAAAUUCGUAGAUAUUGGCUGGAACACCGGUGGCGAAAGCGGCUCUCUGGCCCGGGUCUGACGCUGAGGCGCGAAAGCGUGGGGAGCAAACAGGG